UAUUGAACCACACUGGAAUCAACAAUGAACAGUGUUCAACUGAUUGAUUACAAUUGUCUUUUAGAGCUGCUUUACAACAGAUCUAAAUUCAGUUUACCUCAAAUCAACAAAUCCUUUUAUCACUGUAAAGCUACUUUUAUAAAGCAGUAUAUAAAAGGUUACUUAACUAAACCUGAAGAAAAUUGACAACACUCAGAACACACAAUUCCUGCAGGCUCAACGUGUCAGAACAGAUCAUUUUUGCAGGUUAGCAGUGGGUAUGCAAAUCUGCAUUUUUCAAAUAAACAAUGUUACCACUUUUUGGGUUCAUUAGUGACAAGAACUGCUUUAAAUCACAGAUGAAGUCUUGCAAGUAGGUGUCUACAUUUAGGCAGAAUUAGUAACAACGUUCCAGAAGUGAUCCACCAUUUAUAUAGAGAGAAAAAAAAAAAAAAUAAACAAACCACACCAUUAGGAGAAAGCAUUAAAGCAGCUCUACAAACCUCUUAGCACUCAAAUUCUGGAUAAAGUAACAUGAAAUGUACACAGAACAAACCAUUAAAACACUUUUUUUUAUUUUUUUUAUUUAGUUACUAAAGAACACGUUGGACAUCAGCACCUAAAAUCAUUCAUCAGAAGGACUCCAGGUGCAGUUAGCAGAACCGGACGCCGCAUCCUGGCUCAAGGUGGCGUUAGCAGAAUCGGACGCCGCAUCCUGGCUCAAGGUGGCGUUAGCAGAGGGUGCGUCAUCCUGGCUCAAGGUAGCGUUCGCAGAACCAGAC